rnacentral:misc_RNA from 1 species
UCUCCGUAGGUGAACCUGCGGAGGGAUCAUUACAGAGUUCAUGCCCUACCGGGUAGAUCUCCCACCCUAUGUUAUUAUUACUUUGUUGCUUUGGCGGGCCGUUAGGCUCCGGCCCGACUACCGGCCCCGGCUGGUAAGCGCCCGCCAGAGGACCCAAAACCCUGAAUAUUAGUGUCGUCUGAGUACUAUAUAAUAGUUAAAACUCUCAACAACGGAUCUCUUGGUUCUGACAUCGAUGAAGAACGCAGC